rnacentral:rRNA from 1 species
GACGAACCGCGCGACCGUUGUUCGGAAUCACUGGGCUUAAAGGGCGCGUAGGCGGGCCGCCAAGUUCGAGGUGAAAUCCUCCGGCUCAACCGGAGAACUGCCUCGAAUACUGGAGGCCUCGAGGCGGGUAGGGGCGUGCGGAACUGUGGGUGGAGCGGUGAAAUGCGUUGAUAUCCACAGGAACUCCGGUGGCGAAGGCGGCACGCUGGACCCGAUCUGACGCUGAGGCGCGAAAGCCAGGGGAGCAAACGGG